AUUAGUUGGUUCAACAUCUAGAUUGAUGGCUCCACAGAUGGGACAUAACAACUGACAUAUCGUGAGUCCUCAGUGCUGGCAUGCUGGCUGCUAUAGACGCUGGAUGGACUAAGGAAGACCUUGAUACUGUAGCAGUGGUUGGAUAAUAUUCGAAAUUAAUGUAGCAUAUAUGUGAUGAUUACAUUUUUAACCAAAGGUACUUGGUUUGAUUCUCAGCUGGAUUUGCGUGUGUCAGGCUCACAUUGUGUAUCCUCGGACUCUGCGCGCGAAUGCUGCGAUGGUGCCGAUAAAUUAGCCGCAGUGCCCCCUGUGCGUUAAAG